UCAGAGAAGAAAAAGACCAGACAGUCUCUGAGGCACAUUUCAUUCUUACUGGCAUUGCAAGCUAAAAACCUCCUCUUUCCAGAAGUCAGAAAUGCUUCCAGCUUAAAGGAUUGAAGUGGAGCAUGAUUUAAUUGCAGAAUUUUAUGGAAAGGGGGGAAAAAAAAAAUUUAAUAGCCCCCAUGUCUCUCCACCUCUUUCACUACCAAGCCUAUUAAAAUUAAUAGUAAGUUUUCCAGAGUAUUCUGGCUUCUUAUUUUCCAAAAUUUCUGUCUGAUGAAAGUAACAAGUUGGAGAUAUUGUAAUAGAAGAAGGAAAUUGUGAUGGAAUGGGAUCCAGAGUGUAAAAUGAGGAGCCCAAAAGGGUGGUUUGAUGAGGCAUCCAUCAGAGCUGACUCAGCUAGUCAGCCAGUCUGCACAGGAGGGCUGAGCCUGGGAUCUGAGGUGUUGUAAUGGGAGCGAGGCUGCAUUUCAGAUGCCAUCUCAGGACCACUCCAGCUUUGCUGCUCAAGCACAAGGAAAUAAAGCUACAGAACCAGAAAUACUUGAAGGAAAAUGAGCUGAAAUCUCCAGUAAGAAGUGUGGGCCAUCUGCUCUUCCAGAAUCAAGCCAUCAAGCAGUGAUGGCUGUAACAGCUUUAUUGCCCAUUGAUGGAGGCCUGUUCUAAAUGGGUUUGCAUACAGGGAGGAUUCAAACAAUGCCAACUUGUUACAGGGAACACGUGCAGCACACAUGCUGCACAUGUGCAGCACACUGGUACCAACCAACACAAGAAAAACUCCAUGAAGAAACCUGCCCAGGAAGGCUGUUGAUGGCCAUGCUUUUCCUAGGUGUAUUUAAAGAAAAACAUUGGUCUGCAACUUAAUAUUUACAGUUAGGGACUAAUGCUUGCCCACCUGGGCAACCAUCCUGUUAGCCUUCCCAAGUCCUGCUACGAGGGUCACAGGCAUCUUUCCUGACACAGAGAUGCUUGUCAGCAAAGAGCUACUGCAUCAGAAUAAUUCCUCAUAAGAAUGACAACAAGAAAACAACUGAGGGAUUUCAAAGUGAAUGCCAAAGGUUUUUGUUUUUAUCAAAAAAUUGUAGGAUUAAGAUUUGGCUGCAGAGCUCUCUGUUCCUGGUAUCACAGAUGGUAUAUCAAUAAGACUUACUAUUCUCUGUGCUAGACCCUAUUUCAGUAAAAAUUAUCUAUAAUUGUUUUAAUGACUUUGUUAAUGAUUCACAGAUAUCUUAUAUGCACUAUUUACUCAUCUGUCUUCAUUACCCCAUGCCCUAAAGUGGAGAUGCCACUGAGGAGAACAACAAUAAUUGGCUCCCAUAGGAAAAUAAACAGUUCAAGCUCUGCAAUUAGAGACUGGUCUCUCUCCUUAAAUACUUAAUUAAUAGAUGUGGCUAUUCUAGGUUUUAAAAUUCUAGUGACUGUAUUUUUAUACAUUCACCAGGAACUGGGAUAAGGAAAUGAAGCUUAGUAUAUAAAUAUUUGUCUGGAGUGACACACCCUACUAGUGUGUCUGAGAGCUGAGUUUCAGAGCUGAGCAGGGAAAGAGGACAUAUGCAAUCUGGGCCUGGGUCUGCUGGACAGCUGGUGUAUGCCAGUUUGCACACUGGAAAGGUGGUUCUCAUAAGAAUUAUAAACAUGAAAAAUUCCUGAAGUCUAGCUGUUGCUAAUUUGGGCAGAGUGGAAGGGGUUAAGGAAUAAGUCUUGCAGGGCUGAUGAUGGUCUUGCAGAAGAAGAGUGCAUCCAUGCAGUGCCUGCAGCCCUCCUCAAGGACAACGCAAGGUGAAGUGACAUGGUCCUGUCAGACACAAUACCUUUGAAACAAGAUGGAAAAGUAAAACGGCUGAUCUCGGGUCCCAAGGCAGACACAGAAAAAAGAAACUUGUGUGUAUUUGGGACAAUCCCUGGAGGAUUUGAUUUGAAUAAAAGCACACAAUCAUUUCUGCAGCUUGUGACAGAUAUAAUCCUCCUCCAGUAUAUCCCAUGUUCUUUUGGGGGUAAAUUAAAUGAGAAGAAUUUUACUUUGUGUAUGAGAAAACACCAAGUAACAAACUGAUUAUAGAAAAUCCAGGAGAGGAAUUAAAGCAUUCAUGUUGUAAGCUCUUUGAAACAAGCACAAUGUAUUUUCUAUGCACUUGUACAGAACGAGCUCAAACUGAACCUAAUCAAGGCAUGUGAGAGGUUGUGCAAGAAUAUUUCAAACAGUAACAUGAUUAGAUGUGCCAGCAUCAGACACAUCUACUUUCACAAUACUUUGAUUCAGUCUUUUUGUGGAAUGAGGUGGUGGUAGGCAACUUUCUUUUAAAUGCUUUGACUGUUGUUGCUAUGCAUUUGCCACUAAGCUUUGGGUUUGGGAAGACAGAAACUACCUUUCUAAAGAGUCAUUGGUGAAAUAGCCUUUGUUUGCUAAUUUUUAUUUUAAUCUCCAUCUCUGCUAGAUGUAUCAUGGAGAAAAGAUUCUCAAAAUAUCUGUUACUUCUGCUCCUGGUAAACCUUACCAGUCAGUGUAUCUAACUAGCAAGGCUAAGAAACAUUAACGAACUAGCCAGUGUCAUUAGCAAAGAGCUUGCCUCACUCUCACCAGGCACUUUUGCUGUUUGCAACAUCCAUUUUUUCUUCAGCCAUGCGCUGCUGAUUCUGAACAGAUGAAUAUCACAGAAGAAGGGACUUCAAUGUAAUAUGGCUAAAACAAAAAUUUUGUAAAUGUGGAUGAAAUUUUAUUUAUUUCCAUCCAAUGGUCUAAUGGAAGGGGGAAAAAAGUGAGCAAACUUUUUCUCUUUGGAAAGAUGAAUUUUCUCUUUGACUCAGAAAUGGUUAAAUCUUAUAUCCCCAAACAAUUGGUUGGAAAAUUCAGCUGAUCUGGUUUUGUUGACCUCAUUUCCAUGUGGAAAUUAUUGUCAGGAUUAGGGUUUCUUUAAAAAAAAAAAAAAGAAUAUCUGAAAACUACUUUAUUCAAGAUGUACUAAAAUAUAAGAAGUUAAUAGAAAGUAUUUUAAAUUUGACUAAUCUUCCUUAAAGGAAUUCACUGGUUUUGUACUGCCUAGGAUUUUAAGACUCUGUUCAUAAAGAUUUGUUUCAUUAUUGCUGUGGUUUUGCUUGUAAAAUAUAAGCAUAGAAUUAUAUAAUGUAUAUUCUAUGCAUCUGAGGAUACUUUUUCUGUAUAGAGUUAUAAUAAGGGACAGAAAAGCUUUUAACACUAUCACCUUGAUUUAUCAGCUUUAGCAAAAGGCAGUUGGGUUGAUGACAACUUUGAUUUUAAUAAUUUCAAAUAAUGAAAAACUUCAAUUUAUUUGAAUAAGAAAAACAUUUUAUAGUCUUUUUAUGAAAAGCUACCUUCUAGAAUGUAUUCUUGUAGUCUAGCUCUAGGUAUCAGAGGUGUUAAGUAAAAUAAAAAAUUCCUGAUGGUGCUAGAGAAUUGAAGCAAUAAACCCAAAAGAGAGCUGCGGGCAUAAUAGUUUUAGAUGGGUUUGUUUUAAACCCAAAAUUUCAUAGCUGUCUGUUGAUUCUGGUACAAAGAAAUCAAAUGAAGCUGAAAGAACAUAUCACUAAACACAAGAGAUCAAGAGCUAAACCAACAUUCGCUUCUGUUUGUUCAGUGCUUGAAUCUGUGAAUUCAAAUCUGCCUUAAUAUGAGCAUUUUCCUGUUUAGUUGGAGACUUGCAUGGUUUUUCUUAUUUCUCCCCUGGGCAUCACAGAGCUUUUUCUCAUUUUUUUCAAUUUGUGUAGAAGAGAGCAGAGCUGAGCCAUACUAAAGAUGCUACCACAUCCUCAGUGCCACUUUGCCCAGGACACAAAUGCAGCUCUGAAGAAAAGCAUCAGUGGAUCACAUCCCUCCUGCUGCUUGCUCAUCCUCGGAUUUAUGACUAAGAAAGAGUUAUUGCAUGAAAGGUGGGGCUAAAUGGAGAAAAAAUAAACAAAGAAACAAAAAACCACUCCCUGAGGAUGAAGGGCAUCCUCACAUUGUUUCAUAUGUUUCAGCCACUGCCAAAAAAUGAAGUCCAUUCAUCAGGGAAAUUGAAGAAGUCACCACACCUUUUUAAGAAUUUUCUUUUCUUUUGCAGAAAUGUAGGAACUUAAUGUCCUUGCCCAUACCCAUUUAGUGACAGUCACAAGGGAAGAGGACUGAAAGAGUCUUCAUUUCUUUGCAUGCAGCUUCUUCUGCAAACACCUUCAAGCUUGCAUUUAUGCACCCUGAAAGAAUGAGCAAAUCUACAGUAACGCAAUACAGCAGCACCAUGUUCUCUUCUACAACUUAUUAGCAUUCUGAUUAUUCCCAUUCUUUCCAAUAAUCAGGGAAAGAAUUUCUCUUACUAAUUACGUAUCAUAUGCUUUUUCUCUACCAUCUCUCUUACUAGCUCAUAUUCCCAUUGUUGCCUUUUCAUUGACCACAAAACCACAACAAAAACAAAACAAAACAAACCCUCCUUUCUCUCCGCCCAACAAUCAAAAAUUGUUUUUUCUGCAUUAGUUACAGUUUGUCUGCAACUGAUUUCAUCCCAGUUGUGAGAGUUUGGUAAAUUUGUGUCUUUUCAAAGUGUUAGCUUGCCUGAAUUCUGCUGCUGCUUGGUAAAUACCAAAACUUCCUCAAGCUGUCUCCUUUACUAGAGUAGGUAUAUAAACUUAAUCCUGUCUUCUCUCAGCUUUCCUUUAUCUCUUUCCACAUUUAGCAUUUAUCAGAGCUCCUCCGUACACUGUGAGGCUUGUGGGGCAGGAAGCAUGACUGUUGAAAUUUCCAAAGUAAAGUCAUGGUAAAAUGUAAUAUCAAAUGUUAUGCCCUACAUACUAAGUACUGUUAAAAAUGUGUUCAUUCUUUUCAGUUCUUUCUCUUCUUACUCAUUUUCUUAUGGCCUAUGAAUAACUUAAAUAUUUUAACUUAUUUAUCAUAAUACUCUAUGUUUUGCAUAGACACUUUGUAAUAUGUGAUUUGUGUUUAUGAAGUUCUUUAAAACCAUAAGAUAAAAGGUUACAAGGACUUCCAAGUUAUUACCGUCAAAUUAUUGUUAACUACACUUUGUGAAAAUACUUUGAGGCCUUAAGAGAUCAGUUGAAAUUAAGAGAAACUUAAUUACUUAUUACUGUCUUCAUUUGCUGCCUUGAAAUACCAGUAGACUGGAAUAAAUUCAUAAAUGGUCCUCAUGGCUAACAUAGCAGCUGGUGGCUUUUCAGCAAGUACUGUCCAUAUUUGUAUCUCCAAUUUCCCUAUUAAAACCCCUAUUUUUAUUGAGAAGGUUGGGACACUCCGAAAGCAAACUUCACAAAGUCCUCUGGGAGUGGUCUGUGAUUGUCAACGAAUAAUCCAGCAUGACUGUGCACAUUGGCUAACAUCAUAUUUCUGCACUCCACUGUGUAUCCUCUGAGGGAAUACCAAACCCAGAAAAAGUCUUAUUUUCCAAAAAAACAAUUUAAUUGAAGGUUUUACAAUAAUUGUAUACUGUACAAAAGAUGGCCAAAACUCCUGAUCAUAUGAACUGUGCUCCAAAAGUCUUCCUAUGACUGGCAGCCCCAUUCCACGGAUGCUGAGGGCAGAGGGAAGUUCUUUGUAGAGUGGGACCUCCUACCCAAAACUACUGCUGUCAGGUUAAGGCAGGGGCCCACAGGUCCUGGCAGCAGCCUGCCCUGACCUCCUCACACCAGUGCAGCCAGCUGGUUACACAGCACAGCUUAGGGACAGCCUGGAGAGUCACCUGUUGGCCACUGCAGCCUUGUAGCCACCAGCUAUGGCAUCACUGGGUUUGGUGCUGAGCAUUCCAAGCAAUACCAGCCUGCUUAUUUCGGUCUGCAUUUGGAUGACUUUUUUUCUUUAUGGAAAAAGGCUGUAUUGUGACAAGAGAAACUUACCACCAAGAAAACACAUUAUUUUCUUGUCCUGCACCCCAUUAUUACCAGAUCUGCCUCCCAUUUUUACAAGAUUUUUCCCAUGUUGCUGCCUAAACAGCACCAUGGUUGCUGUUACUACAGAUGUGUUCCCUGGGUCCGACUUCUUUUUUGCUUCUCUCCACAAUGAGGUUAUUGUCACUGAAAGAUUGCAUGGUCUGUAGUUUAUCCUAACUGUUGUGAAUAUAUGGAGAACUGGGAAUUUCAGAACUAUAGGAUGUGAGAAAAGUGUGCAGGGCAGUCUUCUUUCCCUGAUGACUGCUCACUCUUGCCUGUAUCCCUUGCACCUCUCAGUGCCCUGCUCCUCUCUGCAACUGCCAGGUGCUGCUCAUGGGGUAAAAAUUCCCAUGUCACCACUAGGGACUUGCCUCUGGAUAGUUUCUCUGCCUAAGACUUCUGUUUAUUCCGCAUGCUUAUUUAGAUACUUAUUUUAAUUAGUCAAUGGCUGUAUCUCAUGUGAUUCCAGGGAAAGCCUGGCAUAUCUCAGUUUCCCCACCCACCCCUUAUGAUUUGGCUUGUAGGGGUGAAAAAGACAUUUUAUGCAGGUUUGGGGCUUUUGUUUUCUUUUUGAUGCAAAGAGAAGUUGUUUUGUCUCCACGUGAGACACCAAAACCUGUAGAUGAGGACAAAUAUAGCAUCCAACAAAUAAGGUGGGGAUACGGUCAAAUAGAGAAGUCCAGCACAGUAUCCACAAUGUGAUUACAGUAUUUCUUCACUUUUGCAUUGUUCCCUUCCCCCUCUUUCAGCGGUACUCUGUCAGUUGUUAGUAGCUGGCUUAGCUGUGCCACUGAUUAAUGCCUUCCCUGUGGAGUACUGUUGCAGUAAAAACAUGUAAAUGUAAAGAUGAAAAAAUAUAUUGAUUUAUGUAAACAUGUAAAGACGUAUCGGUUACUGUACUGGUGUGGAAUGAAAGAGCCUCAAGUGCAACGCUUUAUCUCCAGAGGUGAAAAAUGUGAAAUAUUACCUUGAAAGGAAAAAAUCACUCUGUGUUUUUGCAGAAUGUUGAGGCAAGGGCAAGACAUUACUCUUGAACUCAAUAUUAGCUUAAUAGUUUGAGUGUGAGGAGCAGGAUCUCAAACAGUUUUAUCUGUUUGACUUCAUGGUUGUAUAAUCAUAAGCAUUAUAGAAUUGCUGGUUUUGGUGGCGGAUUUAAAAACAUUAUUCUUCCAGUUUUUCAGCUGGAAUAUUGGAGAGGGUUUUCUAGCCAGAUGUUUUUUCAAUUAUUAAAAGUACUCAAGUGUGUUAUUGAUUACUCUUCUAAUACAGGCAAUGUGUGACCUAUUGUUUAAGUCAAUCCCUGAUUUGUUGCCAUGUCAUGUUGCUC